UCCCCCUACAAAGGCAUGUUUUUGAUUCCCUGUCUUUGGACACACAAGAAUUAGAGGAAAAGUAAAGUGGAUUUGGAGAUGUCUGGGGCCUGCUUGCUCCUUGUAGAGUCAGGAUCAAUUAUCCUACAUAA
ensembl:snoRNA